rnacentral:tRNA from 1 species
GGUCGAGUGGUGGAAUGGUAUACACGCAGCACUUAAAAUGCUGUCCUUAACAAAGGGUGCGGGUCCGACUCCCGCCUCGACCACCU